rnacentral:lncRNA from 1 species
CACUUGUUGGGGGGGUUGGUUGGAUGGCCAGGGUUGGGGCUUGGAAGGACGCCGGCCGAGAAUUGACCACGCUGGAGCCUAGGCCCCCAGGGAUGCACACCUGCAGCCUCUGUGGGACCCCCGCUCCUAAAUGCGGAAGCCCGGACGUAGAGAGGGGAACUACCAAGGUCACACAGGAGUUAGUGGCUAAGCGUGGGUAAGAACCCGGUCUCCCGGCCUAGGGCUUCUCUGCUGAGCGUCUCCCAGCGACUGGCGGUUUUGUGUUCUGAAGGCGCCCGCCAGGAAAGCCUCCCUUCUGCAUGUAUUACAGUGAAUUGCCAACUUUUACGGAGGGGGUUUCUUGCUACUGUCUCACUGAAAUUCCCUCCACCCACACCCUGCAGCUUUUUAAAGUUCAUCUCAGGUUGAUCUGGGGCCAAGUUCCUAGCCCCGAUGUCCCCUCCCUCCCUUCGGCGAGACCACGAGGCUCCAGUGACUUUUUUGACCCAUAGAUGACCCCCUUCCCCCUACCCCUUUGCUUGAGUGGCCUUGGGGCAGAGGGUAAGUGUGGGAGGCCUGAGCUGCCCCUGGGGGACAGAAACAAAGGGAGUACUCAGCUCCAGGCACCUGAGUAGAGGCUGAGGGGGAGGCAGUGGGAGGGGGGUACUGAGGGCUGCUGCCUUCUGCCUUCAAGUGGGUUUUAAAGACUAAGGGAGCCCCGGGCCCGGUGAUGGAGGAGACUGCCCUGGAAAGUCGGAGGUGCCUUUCCAGUCCCCCUCUCCUCCCUCUGAGCUCGCCCGUCUCCCUGCCCCCCACCUCCAACAUUGGGGCCAUUCACGGGGCCCCUCACCAGCUGCCCUCCCUUUUCUCACUUCAGCCAGCUCCCUUCCCUGGAAGGAGCCCAAGAGGAGGACCCAGCUGCAGCUCCAGAUGUGGAAGGAGCUCUCUAGGGGAAGGGAGGAAGGGGAGCCUGGCUCCAGGCCUCUUGCAUCACCCUCAGCUGAUGAAACCACAUCGGAGAUUUUGAAAAGCCUGUGGGUUAGGGGAUGAGCAGUGUCUGGGGUGCCACUCUCCUCUCGUUCCCUCCCCCCACCCACCCCACAGAUGACUGCUCCAUCCGUAGCCCCCAAACCAAAGUAAUUUCAAGAGCAAACCCAUUCCCCACCUCCACCCCAUCCUCUGGCAAACAGGCGGCAGCUGCCAGCAGUUUCCCAGGAUGGAGGAGGGGCAGGGGGAUAGGGAAGGUCCUGGGGGGGACCCCACACCUUUCACUAGCAUUUGAAUCUGGAGGACGGGCUCUCUGGGGCCAGCAGUUGCCCCUCCCGGGGCAGGAGGCCAGCAGAGUGUUGAGUCCAUCCAACCAAAGUGAGAGAUGGGCGGAGACUAAUAUGAGAGGAGCUUCUCCAACCAGCAAGGAGCCCGACGUGGAUGUUCUCAUUUCAUGCUCAUGACCUUGUGAGCUAGGCUGUAUUCUUUUUAAUUUUUGCUGAUGGGGAAACUGAGUCUCACCCAGCAUAUAAGCGGCAGAUCCCGGAUUUGAACUUUGCAUCCGGUUCCAGGCUUUCCAGAUCCCUUCCAGUAGCUGUGCAGGGACGGGAGCUGGGCUGGUGGACAGAGCUGGGCUGACACAGGCUUUGACUCCAGGCUUAGUCCUCUUGGAGGCUCGUGCGGUAUUUUGCAAAGCUGCCCUCCUGCCCACAAGACUCUGGGCUUCUCCAGGGCCCAACUCUGGUUUCCUGCCUCCAGGAAGUCCCCUCUGACUUCUGAGAGUAGGUGACCCUUCUGACUCAUAGAUUCACUGCUGGGAAAUGGCGCCAGAAGCGCUGCCCCCACCCCCUCCACAUCCCUCCAGGUCACAGGGGUGUCGAACCAGGAGGAGCUGGGAGGCACGUGUGCUGGAAACUCAAGCCUCCCAGAGGUCAGGGCCUCUGGGCGGCUGCCUCUCGGGCGCUGCUGCUGGAGGCGAGGAAAUCAGACAGGGAUCUGAGUUGGUAGUGAAGAGGCUUAAACUGCAGCCUGGGCAGAUUUAGUUAAGAGAGUCAGCGUGGCGGGGGGGGGGGGGGGGGGGGGGGGGGGGAGCGGUGGGCGUCUGGGCAGAUGGGAGCCUGCGGAGUUGGGGGGCCCUCUCUGAGUUGGGAAGCUCCCACGCUGCUGUGUUGAAAAUACUCCAGCAGCAACUGGGGGCAGCCAUCCAAGAGCCCGGAUCCCUCGUUCUCACAGCAACCCUACAGUAACAAAUCCGCACAUCCAAGAGCUGUCCUUAGGCCCUAGAAAUGAUGCAGAGGUGGUUUCUGAACUUGAAUCCGUCCUGUGGUUCCCCUUUAGAAUUAGCACCAGGCACUGGCACUGGGGGGAACUCUGAGCGCUGACUUCAACUUCUAGGGAUGGGGAGUUCAGGGUUCCUGGCUUCCAGCCCCAGCCCUGCCUGGCACCUGGGCUCAGAACCCCAGACAGGGGCUAUCGGGGUGCAGACACAGGGGCCUCAGCCCAGCGAGGGCUCAGCCUGACUUCCUCUGCUGCAGGAGACAGACUUAGAGGAAACCAGAAUUUGUUAUAAAUAGCAGAGGAGAGAGAGCCCUGCGGAUUACAACUCCCCCCCCAGGCUUUAGGAAAAAAUAGAGAAAAAGCAACUAUUUUUGGUUUCUAAUGUUAGCAAGGGUUUGAUACACCACAUAUCCUCAAGCACAGGAUCGCUGUCCAUCUUCCUGCUCUGCAGCGCUUUCUCAGAAUGCAGGCUUAGGGCCACCGAGGAUGCGGGUGCAGGCAAGUCGCCACGUCCCAGAAACCUGGAGCCCAAGAGUCUCUGGUUCAACCGCGUCAUUUUCAGGUGCAGAAAUGAGGCCCAGAGAGGAGACAAGACGUGUCCAGAGUCUCACAGUGACUGCUGAGCUGGCCCUAGGCGUCCCCGAGGGGGCAGUUCCCACCACAGCAUGGUAGGACCUCAAGGCUGAACAUGAGACGGGGCCACAUGUGAGUUUACGGUUUGCAUGAACCCGAGUCACAGAAGACGGAGCUGGAGGGUGGCGUCUCCGGGUCAGAGAUCUGGGCUCGUUCCAGCUCUGCUACUUGGAGCUGUGGGACCUGGGGCAAGUUAUGUAACUGCCCCUGGCGACGUUCCCCUCAAAAUGAGGACUGCCACACCCGCUCAUCACAGGGCUAUUAUGAGGUCAAAAUGGGGUGACCUGGGUUGGGCCACCAGCUCAAGGCUCCUCUCACAGGAUGGAGAUGAAUUUCCUUCGUUUCCCCCAGACGCUCCAUCCCGUCUGUGCGCCCCUGCCCUCUGACAGCACAGAGGGCGAAUCUGUCACAAGACAUCCUUUGAGGGACAGGAAGUGAGGACACGGGGUGAAGUCUGCCUGCCCGAGGGGUCAGCGCCGAUCUGGGAGGGGACAGCGUCCAGGCUCCGCUGGCCUCUCCAUGGAGGGGCCCUUGGAGGCGGGAGGGUCAGAUCACGGAUGGGGGCCACCUGGGAGGCAUCUGAGUUUUAUUUUACUCACCCCGGUGCUCCCCUGUGUCAAGGGUUUCCUCUUUGAAUCCUCACAACAAUUGGGGAUCAAAUACUGUUUGCCCUCAUUUUGCAGAAGAGGAAAUGGGCUCAGAGGUCACUUGGCUGGCGUCGCGGUCAUUUUGCUUUCCACCAAAUAUUUCCGGCCCUCCGCCUUGUGGCACAAGGCGGGCUGGCGUGGCCUCCCUGUCAUGUCAGGGGUGGCCUGUGAUAUCCUUAGCCCAAUGUGGGCAGGACCGGUACCACAUCUCCAUGGAAGCUCCGCACCCUGGCACCUUACGCCAGGUUCAUGUUGUUUCUGGAGCGUAUGUGAGAAAUGAACUUAUUGUUUGAAGCCUCUGAAAUCAUGAGCUGUGGGCUGCCUUGGCAGAGCCAGCCCGCCCUGCCCUGACUGAUGUUCAUCCUGAGUAGAGCUCGGAGCCAGAAUUCCGGUCUGUGCAGGUGCCAAGGGGCUCAGAGCCUUCCAGGAUGCUGCCUGCUUACCUCAGACGCAUGGAGGGCGCUGGGGCUCCUGGGCAACUCAGACCCUUGCAGGCAGGCGGAGGGGACAGCGACCUCUCUGCCUCCACCUGGCCCCAUCCCCAUAAUGCUUGCAGAUUGCUGGGCCCUAGGGACUUAGAAACGAGCACAGUUUCAUGUCCACCUUCUGGCCAGCUGGGCUGUGCCUUGGGGGACCCUCAGAAUCCACUCUGAGAAGCAAUUAGAAAAGUCUGGGAGUUCCCAUUGUGGCUCAAUGAUUGACGAAUCCGACUGGGAACCAUGAGGUCACGGGUUCGAUCCCUGGCCUUGCUCAGUGGGUUAAGGAUCCGGCAUUGCCGUGAGCUGUGGUGGAGGCUGCAGAUGUGGCUUGGAUCCUGCAUCACUGUGGCUCUGGCAUAGGCUGGCAGCUAUGGCUCCCGUUCGACCCCUAGCCUGGGAUCCUCCAUAUGCCUCGGGAGCAGCCCAAGAAAUG